GGGGAUUUUGCUCAGUGGUAGAGCGCUUGCCUAGCAAGCACAAGGCCCUGGGUUCGGUCCCCAGCUCUG
rnacentral:tRNA from 1 species